CGGUAAUUCCAGCUCCAAAAGCGUAUAUAAAAGUUGUUGCGGUUAAAAAGCUCGUAGUUGGAUUUCUGUUGAGGGCGGCCGGUCCGCACUUUGUGCGUGUAUCUGGUUCGGCCUUGGCAUCCUCUUGGGGAACGUAUCUGCAAUUGAUUUUGUGGUGCGGUGUCCAAGACUUUUACUUUGAGGAAAUUAGAGUGUUCACGGCAGGCAACCGCCUUGAAUAUAUUAGCAUGGAAUAAUAAUAUAGGCAUGAGUUCCUAUUUUGUUGGUUUCUAGGAAUUCAUGAAUGAUAAAUAGGGACACUUGGGGGCAUUCGUAUUACGACGUCAGAGGUGGAAUUCUUAGAUUGUCGUACGACGAACUACUGCGAAAGCAUUUGCCAAGGAUGUUUUCAUUGAUCAAGAACGAAAGUCGAGGGAUCGAAGAUGAUUAGAUACCGUCGUAGUCUCGACUAUAAACUAUGCCACCUAGAGAUUGGAGGUCGUUUUUUUAAUGACUCCUUCAGCACCUUAUGAGAAAUCAAAGUUUUUGGGUUUCGGGGGGAGUAUGGUCGCAAGGCUGAAACUUAAAGGAAUUGACGGAAGGGCACCACCAGGAGUGGAGCCUGCGGCUUAAUUUGACUCAACACGGGAAAACUUACCAGGUCCAGACAUAGUAAGGAUUGACAGAUUGAUAGCUCUUUCUUGAUUCUAUGGGUGGUGGUGCAUGGUCGUUCUUAGUUGGUGGGGUGACUUGUCUGCUUUAUUGCGAUAACGAACGAGACCGUAACCUGCUAAAUAGUAAGUCGUAUCUUCGGAUAUGACGCCUACUUCUUAGAGGGACUUUGUGCAAAAAGCGCAAGGAAGUUUGCGGCAAUAACAGGUCUGUGAUGCCCUUAGAUGUUCUGGGCUGCACGCGCGCUACACUGAUGCGUUCCACGAGUUUAUAACCUUGCCCGAGAGGGUUGGGUAAUCUUCUGAAAACGCAUCGUGAUGGGGAUAGACAAUUGCAAUUAUUUGUCUUCAACGAGGAAUUCCUAGUAAGUGCUAGUCAUCAGCUAGUACUGAUUACGUCCCUGCCCUUUGUACACGCCGCCCGUCGCUCCUACCGAUUGAGUGGUCCGGUGAAUAAUUCGGACCAGCAUAUUUUUCGGUUCGCCGAAUUCUGUGCUGGAAAGUCUAGUGAACCUUACCACUUAGAGGAAGGAGAAGUCGUAACAAGGUAGCCGU
rnacentral:rRNA from 1 species